GUUGACCUCGGACCAGGUAGGGAUACCCGCUGAACUUAAGCAUA
rnacentral:rRNA from 1 species